rnacentral:rRNA from 1 species
AGGACGAACGCUGGCGGCGUGCUUAACACAUGCAAGUCGAGCGGUAAGGCCCUUUCGGGGGUACACGAGCGGCGAACGGGUGAGUAACACGUGAGCAAUCUGCCCUUCACUUCGGGAUAAGCCUCGGAAACGGGGUCUAAUACCGGAUAUGACUGCGCCAUGCAUGUGGUGUGGUGGAAAGUUCUGGCGGUGAGGGAUGAGCUCGCGGCCUAUCAGCUUGUUGGUGGGGUAAUGGCCUACCAAGGCUUCGAC